rnacentral:rRNA from 1 species
AAAUUGAAGAGUUUGAUCAUGGCUCAGAUUGAACGCUGGCGGCAGGCCUAACACAUGCAAGUCGAGCGGCAGCGGGAAAGUAGCUUGCUACUUUUGCCGGCGAGCGGCGGACGGGUGAGUAAUGCCUGGGGAUCUGCCCAGUCGAGGGGGAUAACAGUUGGAAACGACUGCUAAUACCGCAUACGCCCUACGGGGGAAAGGAGGGGACCUUCGGGCCUUUCGCGAUUGGAUGAACCCAGGUGGGAUUAGCUAGUUGGUGGGGUAAUGGCUCACCAAGGCGAC